GGAUUAGAUACCCUGGUAGUCCACGCCGUAAACGAUGUCUACUAGCCGUUGGGGAACGUGAGUCCUUGGUGGCGCAGCUAACGCACUAAGUAGACCGCCUGGGGAGUACGGCCGCAAGGUUAAAACUCAAAUGAAUUGACGGGGGCCCGCACAAGCGGUGGAGCAUGUGGUUUAAUUCGAUGCAACGCGAAGAACCUUACCAGGUCUUGACAUCCAGAGAACUUUCCAGAGAUGGAUUGGUGCCUUCGGGAACUCUGUGACAGGUGCUGCAUGGCUGUCGUCAGCUCGUGCC
rnacentral:rRNA from 1 species